UAACUUAAUGCUGUUGGGUUUCACUGGGUGUCCAUAUUGCCAGAUUGUUCUGUCAAGACCAAGAAUGGACUCUCAAGCAGGACACAACUCAAUUUUCACAGACUUUAUAGUUAAACUGGACAGUUUUUGACUGAAACUGGUGAACUGGAUGAGCACUAAUUUGGGAGAGCAACUCUGGGAGAGGAGAUGGGAGUUCAAUCCAAUCCACUGUAUUACCACUUGGGGUAAGUGACUGAACACUGAAGCUUUUCCUUGAUGUGGCCGGAUGGGUUGCGCAUGUCUCUCUCUCUUGGUUGUUCGCUUGCUCGCUUCACCUUCUCUCUCUCUUUCCGCUGCACUUGCUCCUUGUAUCACGUGAUUGGACUGAUUGGGAACCCACCUGCACAUUGAUUACAGGGUGGUGUUUGUCUGUAUAAAGGGAAGCCGGGUUUUUGUUGGUUCAUUCCUCCCGAGCUUCUGGCGCAACACAGCAGUAACUGCUGGCCUAUCGUUACAGAUUAAUUUACCGAGACAAUCGGACUGUGUGACAGCUACAGCGCGGCCGUUUCUCUUGUCUUUACUCCAGCUGUGGUAGAGAGAAGCAUUUGAAUUGCGUCCACCGUGCAGUAUAGCGCCUCCAAUCUUGGGGGUUCGAUUGCUGCCGCACCCUCUCAGUGACCAAUCGCCUGAUUUUAAGUGAAGAGUUGAGACGCCUGCCUAGCUGCUGUUUCAGGGCUCCUCUGCAGUGGAGCUGCUGUCUUGUUUUGUCUUGUGUUCUGUUCUGUUGGCUGUCCAGUUUUGCUCCUGCUACUUUGCCGAGCCUUGCCUCUUGGGGCUUUGGGUUUUACUUUGAGCCCCUUCUGGACUAUUGUUUGCACUCCAGCUUCCGUGGCUGGCUAGGGCGAUCCUCAGCUGCAUAUCCGGCUGGUGCUAAGGAACUGAUACUGCCUCCCCUGGUUGCUCCCAGUUUGUGGGGAGCUGCACAAGACUGAGCGAGGCUGCGGAGUGCAGAGCCCCUUUUAUUCUUUUUAUUAUUUAGAGAGAGCCUGUUAUUUGGUGUCCCAUGUUUUAUUUUUUUUAAUGUGUGUGUCUUGUGCUUUUAUUUCAGGGAACUGAGGAUCUACCAGCGGCCGUGGGACCUCAGGUGGCGGGUCGUUUUCCACACUUCCUUUGUUGUACAGCACUGGGUGAAUAGACUGUAGUGGGGGGGGGUUUGUGUGCUUUUCUUUUUGGUCCACCGCUGCUGGUAAGUCCCAGUUCUGUUUAUUGUUAUUGUAAUUUGGGACACAGUUUUAGAUGACAUUCAGUGCUCUGUCAUUGUUGAUGUUUUAACUUAUUUUAUAUUA